GACGAACGCUGGCGGCGUGCCUAAUACAUGCAAGUCGAACGCAGUGGGGACGGGUGAGUAACACGUGGGUAACCUCCCAUCAGAGGGGAUAACACUUGGAAACAGGUGCUAAACCGAUACUGAUGGAUGAACCCGCGGUGCAUUAGCUAGUUGGUGAGGUAACGGCUCACCAAGGCCACGAUGCAUAGCCGCCCUGAGGGGGUGAUCGGCCCCCCUGGGACUGCGGCACGGCCCCGACUCCUACGGGAGGCAGCAGGAGGGAAUCAUCGGCAAUGGGCCGAAGUCUGAACGCGCAACGCCGCGUGAGUGAAGAAGGUUUUCGGAUCGUAAAGCUCUGUUGUUCGAGAAGCGGUAACUAACCAGAAAGGGACGGCUAACUACGUGCCAGCAGCCGCGGUAAUAC
rnacentral:rRNA from 1 species